GUCGUCGCCAUUUGAUUACUUCUUUAUGUCUACUUACUCUUUAGCCCCGUACAAGCUACCAUAGCACGUGAAACUAAUUAGUCCAAAUGGCUACGACCACUACUACAACCACACGUGCGGCGUCCGACGACGAUCUCCACUCCCUCCUUUCCGAGCAGCGGCGAGAGCUCAUGGCUGCGCAAACCCUCGAAUCCGACCUCGACUUAGCCUUCCGCCUCCAACUCCAAGAAGCCGUCAACGCCUCCCUGUCUCUUCCCCCUUCCUCGUCAACGUCACCACCGACUUCUCAAACACAAUCCUCGCCUUCGGUUAUUGUUAUCCCGGACCAAAACGACACCGUUCAGGCCUCUCUUUCUUCUCUCCAAUCUGAAGAGAUCUCCAAGAUCGAACAAGAGUUGAAUGAUCGGAAACAAUCCGAACUCGAAAUGCGCAGAAUGAGAGAAGAUCUUGAUCGUAGAAUGCACGACCAGAAAGUCGCUCGGGAGAUCUUGAGAAUUCCGGAUGACGAGUGGCUUGAGUGGGGUGAUAAUUUUGAGAAACCCUUCGGCGAGGGAAGCUCUAAAAGCGUCGAGAACAAUAGUAGCAUUUUCAAAUUGUAUUUCAAGGGUUUGGUGAGCGAAGAGAUGGUGACGGACCAGAAGGUAAUUUUGGCUGGGAUUGGUGUAGCAAUUUGUGACCCAGAAGAUAAUUUGGUGUUCGAGAUAAGGAAGCCAUUGAUUGGGAAUGGAAUGAGCAGGCAGGCUGCAGAGGCUAAGGCUUUAAUUGAAGGGCUCAACGCGGCUCUUGCUCUGGAGCUCAAGAGGAUUGUGGUUUCUUGUGAUUAUUAUCCGCUUUAUCAAUUUGUUAUUGGAAGAUGGCCACCAAAGCAGCGCAAGAUUGCUACGUUAGUCAACCAAGUGUCUCUCCUUCAACAAAAAUUUACAUAUUGCAAUCCCACUCUUGUGGCACGCAAUGAUGUCAAAUAUGCUUUUAAACUUGCAAGAGAUGCAAUAGUUUCUCAGGUCACAAUUCCUGCAGAAUCAAGCUGUGGCGAGACUCUUCAGGAGACUUGUGUUAUCUGUUUAGAAGAUACAGAUGCUGAGCACAUAUUUUCAGUUGAUGGAUGUGGACAUCGAUACUGCUUUUCUUGUAUGAAACAGCAUGUGGAGGUGAAGUUGCUUCAUGGCUUGGUACCUAAAUGUCCUCAUGAAGGCUGCAAGUCAGAGCUCAGUGUUGACAGCUGUGGGAAGUUCUUGACAUCCAAAUUAAUUGAGACGAUGAACCAAAGGAUAAAAGAAGCUUCGAUUCCUGUUACGGAGCAAAUUUAUUGCCCAUAUCCCAAAUGCUCAGCACUAAUGUCAAAAAAUGAGAUUUCUGAAUUUGCGGAAAAUGCAUUUGGUGGUUCUGGACGUUCAGGUGCUCGGAAAUGCUUGAAGUGCCAUGGCCUUUUUUGUAUUAAUUGCAAGGUCCCCUGGCAUAGCAGCAUGACUUGUACCAUUUACAAAAUGUUGCAUCCUAACCCACCUGCAGAAGAUGUGAAACUGAAGUCUCUUGCUACAAGUAAUCUGUGGCGCCAGUGUGUGAAAUGCAAUCAUAUGAUUGAACUGUCUGAAGGUUGUUAUCACAUGACUUGCAGGUAUUAUAAUCAUCUUCCUCCCAAAUUGAUUUUUCCCACCAAUAUUUGUGACCAAAGAAAAUUAGUUGAAUGAAAUUGUAAAAGGUGUUUACAAAUGACCUGUGAAAGAAAGAUUGCAUCAUUUUCAGUGUUCAUUACCACCACUUUGAAGAAGAUUAGAAUGGGGCCCUGUUUGGGGUUGAGGUUAGGAGGUCAAAAAAAUGCUUUUUGGAAAAGCACCUUUCUCAUGACUGAACUUCUAUUAAAACUUGCCCAUGGAAUGGAAGGGGAGAUAUAAGAGGAUAUUGUGUAAGAAUAAGAUAAAUGUUGGGUGGGUAAAGUGGGUCUUCCUCAACUUUACUUCACAUUCCCACCCAGUUAAGGCUUAGGGCCUAUGUCGCGAGUAUAUAGUGAAGUAAUUGAAGGAAAGACAUGUUUGUAUGCUAUUCUAGCAGUUCUUUUAAUACUUAGAAGAAAGCUUCAAUAAGUUAUGGUGCCUGACAUUUAUCAUAUUGUGGAUUCACAUCUUAUUCUGGUACAUUUAAAAAUCAUAAAUUCACUUAGACAUCAAUAAUAUUUCUCAUGCUUGUGAUGUUUUUGCAGAUGUGGGUAUGAGUUUUGCUAUAAUUGUGGAGCUGAAUGGAAGGAGAAAAAGGCAACAUGUCAUUGCCCACUCUGGGAUGAGGAUAAUAUUUUGUAUGAUGAUGAUAGGGACUUUGAUGAUGAAGAAGAAGAUGAUGAUGA
rnacentral:misc_RNA from 1 species